GACGAACGCUGGCGGCGUGCUUAACACAUGCAAGUCGAACGGAAAGGCCCUGCUUUUGUGGGGUGCUCGAGUGGCGAACGGUUGAGUAACACGUGAGUAACCUGCCCUUGACUUUGGGAUAACUUCAGGAAACUGGGGCUAAUACCGGAUAGGAGCUCCUGCUGCAUGUUUGGGGUUUGAAAGUUUCGGCGGUUGGGGAUGGACUCGCGGCUUAUCAGCUUGUUGGUGGGGUAGUGGCUUACCAAGGCUUUGACGGGUAGCCGGCCUGAGAGGGUGACCGGCCACAUUGGGACUGAGAUACGGCCCAGACUCCUACGGGAGGCAGCAGUGGGGAAUAUUGCACAAUGGGCGGAAGCCUGAUGCAGCAACGCCGCGUGCGGGAUGACGGCCUUCGGGUUGUAAACCGCUUUCGCCUGUGACGAAGCGUGAGUGACGGUAAUGGGUAAAGAAGCACCGGCUAACUACGUG
rnacentral:rRNA from 1 species